rnacentral:rRNA from 1 species
AUUGAACGCUGGCGGCAUGCCUUACACAUGCAAGUCGAACGGCAGCACGGGGGCAACCCUGGUGGCGAGUGGCGAACGGGUGAGUAAUGCAUCGGAACGUGCCCCGUAGCGGGGGAUAACCAGUCGAAAGACUGGCUAAUACCGCAUACGCUCCACGGAGGAAAGCAGGGGAUCGCAAGACCUUGCACUAUGGGAGCGGCCGAUGCCCGAUUAGCUAGUUGGUGAGGUAAAGGCUCACCAAGGCGACGAUCGGUAGCUGGUUUGAGAGAACGACCAGCCACACUGGGACUGAGACACGGCCCAGACUCCUACGGGAGGCAGCAGUGGGGAAUUUUGGACAAUGGGCGCAAGCCUGAUCCAGCCAUGCCGCGUGGAGGAUGAAGGUCUUCGGAUUGUAAACUCCUGUUGCCGGGACGAAUGCUCCGACCUAACACGUCGGAGUGUGACGGU